UAGAGAGGUCCAAGAUCAUUAGUGAACACAUCAUAAAAGAUUCCUUUUUAAGAUAAUCACUGGAAAAUUUUAUGACUUUACCAAGAUUAUUUUAAUCUUGGCUAAUCUUACUUCAAGCCGAUCUCCUUUCCUGAGCUCUAAAACAGCUGGUGAAAACGGAAGAAUUACUUUGACUCCUUCUAAGACCCUGGUGUCAAAGGGUCAGAUUAUUUUCACCUGACUAAUACAAGGCCAUGGCAAGACUCGUACUGCAGAUUUGUCCGUCUGACCUCCUGAAGCAUUUCUGGAAGUGAGCUGAAGCGCUGCCCACCUCGCAUAUCAUCUAUGCUCCCACCAUUUCGGCGUGGGAGACCUGCACCACCACCUGGAUAAAUCCGGCGCCUUUUGGUUUUCCGUGAGCUGUUCUUAAAUUACCUGAUCUGCUGCUUCUCCUUGGCCAAACCUGCCCUUUGGUUAGUAAAGCGUCGGGAAGCCAAUCCGCGGCAGCUAGUUCUAUUUCUUAAGGGCACUGGGAGGAUAUCAGAUGCAUGGAUCCUGAACAUUGACUUUCAACGACAAGGACUGCAGCAACGAAACAGGAUAUUACACCCUGAACAGGAUAACUUUGGAGGAAAAAAACUCUCCACACCUAAGUGACCUUUGUAGUUGGACACACCUAGACACAGAAGGCUUUGUUUAUUCAUGAAACUUGUGCUACAGCACUGAGUGUUGUCUUUUUCUUCCCCAUUCUGUAAGAUCAAGGUAUGAGACAUAGACAAAUGCAAAGUUUAAGGCACGGGCAACAGCUCUAAUCCUUACAAGUGUCUGUGACUUCCACAGGAGCACAGAACUGUUUUCCCCAAAGCCCGCUCCCUGUCUGAAGUUGCAGCAACCACACAAAUAUCCCAAAACAAAGAUUCAGGUGACUGUUUUCAGGUAGGUAACAACAUCUGCACAAGGCUGGGAGGGAUUGUUAGGGGUUUUUUUGGGUUAGAGUUGAGUUAACACAUAGAGUUGAGGUGCCCAGCUCUGAACGGAUCUCUUGUCUUGCUGAGCCCAGAAGGAACAGGCAAGUUGAGGCUGUAAACUGUGAAAGUCUGUAGGCUGUCAAAGAAGUACAAAAGCGUUUCCCCAACUCUUCCUUCACUCCUUUGUGGAGACCUUACUGCAGCAAACAGUGCUCUUUCCUCAUGUUGUUUCAUUCUUCAUUUUUGGCAUCCCAUUUUAAUGUCCUGUGCUGUUGCUCUCAGCACAUUCAAAAAAAGUGAGAAGAAAAAAAAGUUACUCAUAGCACUGCAUGGAGGGUACAGCCAUGGGAUGUGAUACCACUCUGCUGCUGCUCCUCAGAGCUGAGAGUGGUGGGGACAGAGUCCUCUGUGUGCAAGUUGAUAUGAUGAGAACUCACAUUUGUAAGGCUGCCGGCUGAAACCAGUUUGGGGUUUUUUUUUCUUAUGGAGGUGUAUGUUCUGCAUGAACAUAGGCAAAGGUAAACCAUGCAUCCGUGAUUUCACAGAGAGCUACACACUUGGAAGAUGAGCAAGAAUUUUGUCGUUGUGGUUUUAGAUACCCAAAGUCUUGCUGUCAGUGACCUCCCCCAUUAGCUAUCCGAGGACAAUGGCUUCUGUACCAGGCAUUUUAAACCCCCCUGUGUUUUAUCCCGAAAGAGAAGUAGCCGAUGCCCACUGGGAGGCAGUACGGGUCAAUGGACAGGGUGUUCAUGCCAGCCAGCCCCUCUCUCUGCUGGAACCACCAAUGGCAGGAGAUUGGAGAAGGCGUCAUGUUUCUGUUUGACCAUUAUACCUGCCUGUCCUGGUCCCUCAUCAGGGAGCAUCAUCUACCGUUUUUCUUCUCAUGCACAUGCCAUGCAGUCUGACUCCAGAAGUAUUGGAUUAAUACUGACCUUGGAAGUAGUUUUAUUUCAGUUGUAUCCUCAUUAAGGAUGUGCUUAAGUUUCAAAUUCUGCACUUACAGUUUCUCCUAUGUAGUAAGGUGCCUAAGAAGACCUACAGAACAUAUUUUCGCUCUUGUUGAAUUUGUAUCAGCUAAGACAAAAAAUUCAAAUUAAAUUUGUCUUUGGAUUGCCUCCAGUACUAUUCAAAACCAUGUUUCAAAGUCUUUUACAACCUGGAGAGAAAAAGAGGCAGGGUUACACACAGGCUUUUGUCUCAGUCACAAAAUGUAAGUAAAUAUAAAUUUAUAUAUAAAAAUAUAAGUAUAUAUAAAAGUAGAAUAAAUACAUUAUAUAUGUAUACACAUAUACAUACAUACACCAUGAUUCUCUUACUAUAUGGGCAGCAUUAAAACAAAACACAAUUCCAACUAUUAUUAAUCAAUCUCUCUUAGACUGAUACUCAGUCACUCAAAUGUUUCAAACAGGCUGGCAACUGUCACAAUGUUUGUAUCUAUAUGUGGACAUCUACUGCUUGUUACACAGAAAUCAUACGCUCACUUCUCCAAAUAAAUAUGCAAUGGCAUUUAAGUCAUUACAAAGCCUUGCUGCUCUUGAACCAGAGACCGACGAUGACCUGGAGGUGAGGUAUCCGAUUACCAAUCCCCUAAGCCAUGCAGUUGCCUUAUUGCUGGGGAUUUGGGGGAUGGUGUCUGGAGCAGCGUCACUAACAAAUGUCAAAACCUCAUGCAGUUGUUGCUUGCAUGGGAGAAUUGUUUGGAUGUGGAUAUAUUCCUCAGCUCUUGUCCUGAAUAUCUGGCCAUAAUAAAACUCUCUGCUUGUUCAUAACACAAUGCCUGAAAGAAAAUUCCUACAGACUUUUUUACCACUCAAGGUGAAAGUCAUGUGUUACAAUGUUCCAUAAUACAACAAGCUGCUGUAAAGUCUUCACUGUACAUAAAACCUCACAUUUUGCUCAUUUGAGGGUUUUCUUCUGUCAACAGACAAUCAUUGUAAAAUCUGCAAUUCAGAGACCAAAUUUUCUUUCUACUGAGUGCAGAGAGCACAAAA